AAUGAACGCUGGCGGCAUGCCUAAUACAUGCAAGUCGAACGAGUGGCGGACGGGUGUGUAAUGUCUGGGACACUGCUUGAUGGAGGGGGAUAACUAUUGGAAACGGUAGCUAAUACCGCAUACCAUCAGAUGUGCCCAGAUGGGAUUAGCUAGUUGGUGGGGUAACGGUUCACAAAGGCGACGAUCCCUAGCUGGUCUGAGCGGAUGACGAGCACAACGUGAACGGAGCAACGGGCCAGCCUCCUACGGGAGGAAGAAGUGGGGAAUAUUGCAAAAUGGGCGAAAGCCUGAUGCAGCAAUGCCGAGUGUAUGAAGAAGGCCUUCGGGUUGUAAAGUACUUUCAGCGGGGAGGCGUUACCCACAGAAGAAGCACCGGCUAACUCCGUGCCAGCAGCCGCGGUAAUUC
rnacentral:rRNA from 1 species